AUGCAUACAUACACACAUUAAAUACAUAAAUGUAAAAUGCACUAGGAUGCAAAAGAAAAUAAUCUCUGUACUUUCCAUCUUUGUGGCUGCCCACACUGAAUUGGGGAGUACAUAA
ensembl:snoRNA